AUACACCAGGUCCAAAACUUGCCUUGCUCUGCCGGGCAGUACACACGUCCCGUUUCCUCCUCACCUCUUACUCAUGCACGAGGAGAUUAAGUUCAAAGGGUACCUAACUUUCUCAGAGUGACUUGUCAGACAUAAUGGUGCUGGGAAAUGGUACAGUACUGAGUCCAAAGCUAUAGACAUCCAAUGUUUGGGUGGGAUCUGAAUGUGUCACUGAUGGCCACGGGCCCCUGGCAGCCAGUUCGGGGCUGGUGUCAUUUAUCUGUUCUGGAGAUACACUCUGAAGUCAGAGAUGGUGCUCAGUUGAUCUUUGGGGGAAAAAAAUUCCCAUAUCAGGCAAAAGCUCCAUCUGAUGACAUUUAGAGCAAAGGGCAAGAGCGCUAAGCAAGCUCUGUGGUUAUUUCUCCAUUCUGUGAAGGCUUACUGAGCCCAGAGUGCGACAGGCAUGGCUCUCAGCACAGUGAGAUCACAGGUUCAUGAGGCUCAGUCCCUGCUCUGAGGAUCUGUGACCUGCCAAGGGGCAACUGCUGCCAUGGAUCAGAUGUCUACCCCCUACUGGGCAUCUCUCACAAGCCACCUGCAGUCUUUCCAAGGGGUUGCCGUGUAAGUCUUUGUGUUCCCAUCCCGAGGAUGGGGAUCUGAGGCUCGAACAGCCCUCCGCAAGCCAACAAGAAAAACCGAGAUUGGAAAGCAAGUCCCACCCCAAACUUGUGUGCCUUUCCAGGUGUCACUGGGUCAGAUCCACCUGAAGCCUAACCUGACUGAGUAGGGAGUGUCGCACAGGUGUUCCUCUUGUAUUCUCCACUCCCUCUACAUGAAGGGAGUUUGGGUUUGCUGUAGGCACUCAGAGAACCGCAUCGUGUAUUGUCAGUUCUGUAACAGAAACUCCAUCAUCCUUCCAUGAUGCCAACCAAGUGGUCAAUCUCUAGAAAUCUGAGGUCUGCAUACUGGAAUUCCAGUUCAGUUGGCUGUGACAAGCACUCUUGCCUCCACAGUAAGUACUGACCCUCCCUGGGCCUUCAUGAUUCCCACUUUACAAACGGUGCAUCUGAAGCUGUCACGAAUUGCUCAAGGUCACUCAUGUUAUAUAAGUGAAGGAGGUUCAAGAUUCAAAAUCCAAAACACUCUGUGUAGCAUCGUUUUAAGUGACAUGUCCAAGUUUUCCGUAUAUUUUCAAGGAUAUGUCCAAGUCUAG
rnacentral:lncRNA from 1 species